ACGGGAGGCAGCAGUGGGGAAUAUUGCACAAUGGGCGAAAGCCUGAUGCAGCGACGCCGCGUGAGUGAAGAAGUAUUUCGGUAUGUAAAGCUCUAUCAGCAGGGAAGAAAAUGACGGUACCUGACUAAGAAGCCCCGGCUAACUACGUGCCAGCAGCCGCGGUAAUACGUAGGGGGCAAGCGUUAUCCGGAUUUACUGGGUGUAAAGGGAGUGUAGGUGGCAAGACAAGUCAGAAGUGAAACUCCGGGGCUCAACCCCGGAACUGCUUUUGAAACUGUCUAGCUUGAGUGCAGGAGAGGUAAGCGGAAUUCCUAGUGUAGCGGUGAAAUGCGUAGAUAUUAGGAGGAACACCAGUGGCGAAGGCGGCUUACUGGACUGUAACUGACACUGAGGCUCGAAAGCGUGGGGAGCAAACAGGAUUAGAUACCCUGGUA
rnacentral:rRNA from 2 species